CAAGGGCCUGAGAUGCCUGACUCUGUCCUAAGGGCUCCACAUGAGAUCCUAGGGUUUUAUAUAGCAGCAUAAGGAGGCAGAGAACUGUAAAGGUGGACACUGAGUUUACAACUCAUGCUGAAGCAGUGUCAGAAUAGGGAAAAGAAAAAGAGCUGUGUGCAGCAUCCAGCGACUCCUGGAUCACUUUCCCACCAAGUUCUUACAGGAGAGAGUCUGGCUCCACUGGCAGGGAAGGACCAACUCUGAUUGUCAGGGAAGCAUCUUACAGGCCUUUCCUUUAACCUCUUUCACCUAAUUCCUCCCGCUCUUGCACGCUAACUCAUCUAACUGAUGAUAUAACUGAUGAAGUUGGAGUCUGGACCACCUUCCUCUCCUUAUUCCUCCACUUCACGUUCCCCCAUGCUAUCAAGUAGCUCAGAAUCCCUUUUGACUACUUUGAGAUUUUAAGUUUUGAUUCCUUCAAAGGGCUUGACCAGACUGGAGA
rnacentral:lncRNA from 1 species